rnacentral:lncRNA from 1 species
AUGCACACAGUGGAUCCUGACUGGGUGGCCAACACUGGCUCCUGUGUCUUCCAGGUGGCCCUGCAGAGGUACCGUGAGCUGUAUGACCUGUCCCGCUCAGAAGAGGAGGCGCUCUGCAGUCUGGCCGUGAGCAUGUGUUUGGAUGGCCAGCCGCUGGCCAUGAUUCAGCAGCUGCUUGAGGUGGCAGUCGGGCCUCGGGACACAACCCUCAAGGAUGUUGUGCGAAGUGCCAUUGUGAAAAUAAUGUCUACACUGAGUGGAGGUGGUGCCGACCUUGGUGGGACUGGAGACCCGCUCCAGGUCCUGGAAGGUGUGGUGGCAGCUGUGCAUGCCAGCGUGGAUGCGGGGGAGCAGCUGGUGGCCCCCGAGGACCUGCUGGAGUGGCUGCGGCCCUUCUGUGCAGAUGACACCCUGCCCGUGCAGCCUCGCGUCCGUGUGCUGCAGGUCUUGGAGCAGUCCUGCCACCUGACAGAGGAGGACAGCAGGCUCCUGGUGUUCUUCCGAACAGAGGCCAUCCUCAAGGCUGCCUGGCCUGGGAGGCAGGUGAACGUGGCUGACGUGGCGAGUGCAGAGCGGCGCUCUGCCCUGUUUGAGGAGCUGCUGGAGUGCAGCUGCUGCCAGGCCGAGUUCCAGCACCUGGCUAUGCUCUUGCAGGCCUGGCCCCCUCUGCAGAGUGACUGCACGGUGUGAAGGAGCUGGGCCUGCUGCUGCGUGACCAGGCACUGCCACUGCUGUCCCUGAAGCUGCUGCUGGAGCAGCCAGAGCCUGAGCUGCACGCCCUGGCACAGGAGCAGGUCAC